CAGCAACACCGCGCACACCCGCGCCGUGAGCGAUGGAGUCCAGUCCGAGGGCGCCAUGGCUCCGAGCUGCUGCCGUGGCUCCCACUGCUGCUAAGCCGCUAGCACCACGAUCCUACUGUCCGCCUGCUUAAUCCUUCUUCUGCUGCUGCUGGUCGCGGUUGGGGAACCGGCGAGGCGGCUCCCGGUUCCGGCGCUCCUUGGCGUUGCGGACGCGCACAACGCGGCUGUGGAUAGCAGCGCUGAUGCUGUAGUACACCUUGCGGUAAAUCUUGGGCAGGGCGUAGUCUGUGGGCAGGGAUUGCGCCGGCAGAAGCCUCAAGACGGCGGACAAACACGCCCUCGCGCUAAAAUGAGCACACUCGGUCCUCAUCCACUUCAUUUCAUAUUGUCAUGACCUAUUGCUAUCCCAAGCCAGCCCAACUGGAGGCCGUCGCCCAGGCUCGAUCCCCAGCGCCCACAGCCGUCCCUCCGCCGACUCACUGUCGACGACGCAAGCCUCCUGCAUGUCGCGGAGAGCCGACGCGUCCACAAUGUUGCGCACAAUGUAGCGCUUGAUAGCCUUGUCCUUGGGCACCAUGGCGCCGCUAGACUCGCAGCGCACACGGUUCACAUGGCCGCGGCCGUGCUUGGCGCGUCCCCGAUUCCGCCGCUUCUUCGUCAUGGUUGCUAGCUUUGCAGAGAGAGG
rnacentral:lncRNA from 1 species